AUUGAACGCUGGCGGCAGGCCUAACACAUGCAAGUCGAACGGUAACAGGAAACAGCUUGCUGUUUCGCUGACGAGUGGCGGACGGGUGAGUAAUGUCUGGGAAACUGCCUGAUGGAGGGGGAUAACUACUGGAAACGGUAGCUAAUACCGCAUAACGUCGCAAGACCAAAGAGGGGGACCUUCGGGCCUCUUGCCGUCGGAUGUGCCCAGAUGGGAUUAGCUUGUUGGUGGGGUAACGGCUCACCAAGGCGUCGAUCCCUAGCUGGUCUGAGAGGAUGACCAGCCACACUGGAACUGAGACACGGUCCAGACUCCUACGGGAGGCAGCAGUGGGGAAUAUUGCACAAUGGGCGCAAGCCUGAUGCAGCCAUGCCGCGUGUAUGAAGAAGGCCUUCGGGUUGUAAAGUACUUUCAGCGGGGAGGAAGGGAGUAAAGUUAAUACCUUUACUCAUUGACGUUACCCGCAGAAGAAGCACCGGCUAACUCCGUGCCAGCAGCCGCCGUAA
rnacentral:rRNA from 1 species